rnacentral:rRNA from 1 species
GAUGAACGCUGGCGGCGUGCCUAAUACAUGCAAGUCGAGCGAACAGACGAGGAGCUUGCUCCUCUGACGUUAGCGGCGGACGGGUGAGUAACACGUGGAUAACCUACCUAUAAGACUGGGAUAACUUCGGGAAACCGGAGCUAAUACCGGAUAAUAUAUUGAACCGCAUGGUUCAAUAGUGAAAGACGGUUUUGCUGUCACUUAUAGAUGGAUCCGCGCCGCAUUAGCUAGUUGGUAAGGUAACGGCUUACCAAGGCAACGAUGCGUAGCCGACCUGAGAGGGUGAUCGCCCACACUGGAACUGAGACACGGUCCAGACGCCUACGGGCGGCAGCAGUAGGGAAUCUUCCGCAAUGGGCGAAUGUCUGACGGAGCAACGCCGCGUGACUGAUGAAGGUCUUCGGAUCGUAAAACUCUGUUACUAGGGAAGAACAAAUGUGUAAGUAACUAUGCACUUCUUGACGGUACCUAAUCAGAAAGCCACGGCUAACUACGUG